UACAGGGGGUGCAAACGUUGUCCGGAAUUAUUGGGCGUAAAGCGCGCGCAGGCGGUCCUUUAAGUCUGAUGUGAAAGCCCACGGCUCAACCGUGGAGGGUCAUUGGAAACUGGGGGACUUGAGUGCAGGAGAGAAGAGUGGAAUUCCACGUGUAGCGGUGAAAUGCGUAGAGAUGUGGAGGAACACCAGUGGCGAAGGCGACUCUUUGGCCUGUAACUGACGCUGAGGCGCGAAAGCGUGGGGAGCAAACAGG
rnacentral:rRNA from 1 species